AAAUUAUGUGGGGCCAGGGCUGGAGGUAACYGGUAGGGAACUGGACCCUGAGGUACCAUGGUGUGUGAAACACAGGGAUCUUUCCAGCCUGAAAAUGAGAAUGGUCGCUUUGUCACACGUCACUUUGUCAAACCCCACCAUGAGCAUCCUCUUGAAAGUCCCACUGGUGCUCAGCAGGGGCUUCCCGGUGCUUCCACUGCACAACAGCUUCAUCCUCAUCACAGCCCAGGGCUGUGGGAUCAGAGUUGGACCUGCAGCUCCAGUUCYCGGCUGCUCUGGACCAUGCCAAGUCUGCAGUGUUUCCAGGUUGAUGAUGGCCUGCAUCAAUGAGAGCCYGGGAUUACAUUGCUGGGAUUUUCUCUACAUGGGAAGGAAGAACAUAUUCAAUAAACCAACUGUACCCAGGCUGCACAGUAACACAUGCCCCAGGUAUCAAACAGCGGGACAAAGGCGGACAGAGCAGAAGGAUAAGCCAGGCUCAGACACUGAACCAAGGUCAGGGAACCCAGGCAAGUGCCUCAGGAACUUCCACCUCACUUGCUGUAAAAAUCAGAUGUAGGUGUUUUGUGCACCUUGUGAGGAACUGCRAGGUGAGCAAGCACAGCACUGUGGAUGGGGCAGGUGACUGCUGCUCCCAGAAAGCCUCAGGCAUCUGUGGGAUGCAAAGUACAAUCCCUAAAGAGAGCCUACCCAGCGCUGCACAAACCGUGCAGUCAGCACUGCCCAGGUGCUUAGGCUGACAUUUUGAAGCRUGACGUGCAGAAGUGAAGAGUUCUUGCAGAUAAAUCUGUUAUAACUGAGAAUUUAUACAACUUCUGACUCAAUUAGAUGCUUGGCCAUGUUCUAUUUUCUGACAAAAUCAGGCCGUUGAGUAUUUCUAAUUGGAUCUCUGAAAUGAAAAGAUAUUUUUUAUUAUUCCGUCUGUACACCCGAGUUCCUCGUCUGUAAAAUAAGGGCAACACCGGUUCUCACUCCAGUGUUGAGAAAAUAAAUUAGAGUUUGUGAAGCAUUUGGAUACCAUAGUGAUGAGUCCCAUGGAAAAGCUCAGGAGGAAAUGAAUAAAUCUAUCUUCAGAACAAUAUUUGAAUAGUCUGCUGUAAAUAAAGCACGGGCCACACAGUGAACAGCGAGGAGAAAAUAAAAUUAUUACGUAGCGAACACAGUCUAUUCUGUACAAGGAGUGAGCCCGGGAGCCUGUCAAAGGAACAGCGUGUGAUCUAAUUACAAUUAAAUACUAUAUCAUAAUGCAAACGCACA